rnacentral:rRNA from 1 species
GACGAACGCUGGCGGCGUGCUUAACACAUGCAAGUCGAACGGAAAGGCCCUGCUUUUGUGGGGUGCUCGAGUGGCGAACGGGUGAGUAACACGUGAGUAACCUGCCCUUGACUUUGGGAUAACUUCAGGAAACUGGGGCUAAUACCGGAUAGGAGCUCCUGCUGCAUGGUGGGGGUUGGAAAGUUUCGGCGGUUGGGGAUGGACUCGCGGCUUAUCAGCUUGUUGGUGGGGUAGUGGCUUACCAAGGCUUUGACGGGUAGCCGGCCUGAGAGGGUGACCGGCCACAUUGGGACUGAGAUACGGCCCAGACUCCUACGGGAGGCAGCAGUGGGGAAUAUUGCACAAUGGGUGGAAGCCUGAUGCAGCAACGCCGUGUGCGGGAUGACGGCCUUCGGGUUGUAAACCGCUUUCGCCUGUGACGAAGCGUGAGUGACGGUAAUGGGUAAAGAAGCACCGGCUAACUACGUG